CUCUCUCUAUUUAUCCAAUUGUGUAUUAUGUAUUCAUUCAAGUUUAUUAAUUGAUUCAUGUCUUUUUUUUGGAGCAACGAAAUGAAG